AGUGUCUCUGCUUUCCUCUCAGAUUGACUUCAUGUCUGCAGAGACCAUCAGUUAUAGUUAUGAACACAGAGGAGAACAGAGCAGAGUCUCCAUCCUCCAGCUGUCCCAAAGAUCUUCCUGGAGGCUUCAGUAAAGAUCCUGGAGCAGCAGAUCCAGGCCUCCAUCUCAGGUGAAGUUCUGACUGCAGGUAAACUGGUUCUACUGGUUCUCCUUUUCUGCCUCCAUCUCAGUCUGUUUUCUUCAGACCGUCGUCAGUUCUCUGCUUCACCUAAAGACGCCCUGCAGGUGUGUGAGCUGAUGUGAAGUGAGCAGCAUGGAUCAGUGUGAGGACAGAGAGGACAGAGUCCCUCCCUCUAAAACCACUCUGGGUGGAGUACAUGAGGACCAGAGCAAAGCUCAGAGGAAACCAGCACAACCAGAACCUGGACCAGAACCCAGCUGUGUGUCCUUAAAGAGCAACAGGUCAAAGGGUCUCCCUAUUGAUUUUAAAUCAGACCAACCUUCAUCAGCAAACAGGUGAGCUGUUUCUAAAUGUUCCACUAAUCAGUUUAACUUCAUUCCAACAUAUUAAUGUGAACUCAACUCUUUCUCACAUGUCUGUGUUCACAUGUGAAGCAGUGAGUGAUGGAGGCUAAAUAAUGGAAAUAAUCAAAGGAUUGUUUUAUUGGGAUGAUAUGAAAUGAUCUUGUUAGAUGAUAUUGGAGCUAAAAUCAGUUGUU